rnacentral:rRNA from 1 species
UACGUAGGGUGCGAGCGUUGUCCGGAAUUAUUGGGCGUAAAGAGCGUGUAGGCGGCCAGGUAGGUCCGCUGUGAAAACUCGAGGCUUAACCUCGAGAUGUCGGUGGAAACCAUCUGGCUAGAGUCCGGAAGAGGAGAGUGGAAUUCCUGGUGUAGCGGUGAAAUGCGCAGAUAUCAGGAAGAACACCCGUGGCGAAGGCGGCUCUCUGGGACGGUACUGACGCUGAGGCGCGAAAGCGUGGGGAGCGAACAGG